GUAGUUACAAGUUUUGAUUGCCAACAAUGUUUGAAGCCUUUUAAUUAUGGCUUGUAUUUUCAAUGAUGCAUAGUGCUCCAUAGUUAUGCAGAUAAAUAAGAUCAUGCAGAUGUGUAUCAUAUAGUGGUUUAAUACAGUGUGUCAUUAUUAAUAAAUGUGGGUUAAAAGGAUGUUCACACAUGCAAAUGAUAAGUUCUAGGUUUAAAAACAAAAAAACCAAACCUUAACAUUUUACCUUUAUAAGACAUCAAGUGUUAAUUCAUGCUUCAGAAGGCUUUUUUUUUUUUUUUUUAAUAU